rnacentral:tRNA from 1 species
CCUUCGAUAGCUCAGCUGGAAGAGCGUGGGACUGUAAUGUACGCUUACGUAAGCACUUAUCCCGAGGCCAUCGGUUCGAUCCCGAUUCGAAGGA